rnacentral:rRNA from 1 species
AACACAUGCAAGUCGAACGGAGCGAAUGAAAGCUUGCUUUUAUGAGCUUAGUGGCAAACGGGUGAGUAACACGUAGACAACCUGCCGACAGGAUGGGGACAACAUUCCGAAAGGAAUGCUAAUACCGAAUGAAGCGGAGGAGAGGCAUCUCUCUUCCGUGAAAGAUGGCCUCUAUUUAUAAGCUAUCACCUGUCGAUGGGUCUGCGUCUGAUUAGCUGGUUGGUGAGGUAACGGCUCACCAAGGCGACGAUCAGUAGCCGGUCUGAGAGGAUGAACGGCCACAUUGGGACUGAGACACGGCCCAGACUCCUACGGGAGGCAGCAGUGGGGAAUCUUCCGCAAUGGGCGCAAGCCUGACGGAGCAACGCCGCGUGAGUGAAGAAGGUCUUCGGAUCGUAAAGCUCUGUUGACGGGGACGAACGUGCGAGAGGUGAAUAAACUCUUGCAAUGACGGUACCUGUCGAGGAAGCCACGGCUAACUACGUG